rnacentral:rRNA from 1 species
UACGAAGGGGGCUAGCGUUGCUCGGAAUCACUGGGCGUAAAGGGCGCGUAGGCGGACUUUUAAGUCGGAGGUGAAAGCCCAGGGCUCAACCCUGGAAUUGCCUUCGAUACUGGGAGUCUUGAGUUCGGAAGAGGUUGGUGGAACCGCGAGUGUAGAGGUGAAAUUCGUAGAUAUUCGCAAGAACACCAGUGGCGAAGGCGGCCAACUGGUCCGAUACUGACGCUGAGGCGCGAAAGCGUGGGGAGCAAACAGG